GAAAGAAAGAAAGAAAGGGGAGAAAGAAAAGAGAUCAGUUUUUUGUGUGAUUUGUUUUUUGAGAUUUGUUCUUUCUCCCUCUCUUUUUU
rnacentral:ribozyme from 13 species